CCUGACGCAGCGACGCCGCGUGAUUGAAGAAGGCCUUCGGGUUGUAAAGAUCUUUAAUUGGGGACGAAAAAAAUGACGGUACCCAAAGAAUAAGCUCCGGCUAACUACGUGCCAGCAGCCGCGGUAAUACGUAGGGAGCAAGCGUUAUCCGGAUUUACUGGGUGUAAAGGGCGAGUAGGCGGGCUGACAAGUUGGGAGUGAAAUCCGGGGGCUUAACCCCCGAACUGCUUUCAAAACUGUUAGUCUUGAGUGAUGGAGAGGUAGGCGGAAUUCCCGGUGUAGCGGUGGAAUGCGUAGAUAUCGGGAGGAACACCAGUGGCGAAGGCGGCCUACUGGGCAUCAACUGACGCUGAGGCUCGAAAGCAUGGGUAGCAAACAGGAUUAGAUACCCUGGUAGUCCAUGCUGUAAACGAUGAUUACUAGGUGUGGGAAGAUUGACCCUUUCCGUGCCGCAGUUAACACAAUAAGUAAUCCACCUGGGGAGUACGACCGCAAGGUUGAAACUCAAAGGAAUUGACGG
rnacentral:rRNA from 1 species